UAAAAAAAAAAGAGCGAUUACAGCCCAUAGGAAUGCAUGUAAGCUGUGACAAGUUUUGCUCUUUGCGAGCGCCUCCCUUGCUGCUUCGCUAAAAUUUUGCCACGGAUCGCUGCAGAAAUUCCUCGUGAUUGGAUUCCUUACGUUUUUUUGUGUGAAAUCGCGUCACAUACAUGUUAUUUCCUGUCUAUGCUGUACUCGUGUGUGCGCGUGUCGUUCCAGUCUUGUACUUUGAACUACGAUUAUGUGAUUUGCUGGUUUUGUGUGGUGUUGUAUUUGUUGUGUUACGUUUCCUUUGUCGUCGGUCAGCGUGUUGCUUCUCGUGUUUCUCCCAUUUCCUUUCUGCUCGGGGGUGUGGAAUGCCAGGGAGCAGUAUUCUCAGAAUUGACUCUUGGCAUUCAGCAAUGUUUGGCACGUUUGUUUAUGAAACCACCUUAAUAUGCUUGCAUUACAUUAUGCUUUGCACAGUAAGUUUAGAUAUGACUAGUUAUGACACGAAAUGCCGAACGGCACUAAAGCACUUCCAAAGGACUAGAAUGAGAUAAAGUAUGUGAUAUAAAGGCUAUAUGACGCUAAAAACAUAUCGACUAGAAAUAUGUGCACUGGGGAGGUAAAUGGCGGUAAAUACAGUUCAAAAUGACUAGAGGUAGAGUGAAUAAGCCAUAAAAAGGCUAAGUAGCAAGGUCUCCAACAUCGAAGUAUCACAAGUCCAGUUACAAAAGCAAGUUUGAAGCAGUCAACCAUGAUGAGGCCUGGCUGUCACCUUCUCUGUAUAUUCCUUGGCAAGGUAGUACAGUCUGAUCCUGCUGUAGCACUGGGAAACUUCUUUGAUAAGACGGAUCACAUGGUUUUCAUUUGGGCUGCAUUCAAACAUAUGUUGUUGCAAACUGGGGAAGAUGCUGGGCAGCAGUGAUGUUGAUGAGAUAUGUUGCAAGACUGCUCUCGUUAGAAGCUCCCCAAUCUCAGCAUGCUUGGUUGCACUUUCUGUGUGAAAAUGUAAAGGCAGAUAUUGCAAAAUGUUUGUGUUCGUCAGUUGUCAGUUAUCCUAAGCAGGGAGAAUAAAGAGUAGACGUUCGAGGUUGAAAAAUUAUUUAUUGUCUGAGUAAACAUUCUGGAACGCACCAAAAAGACUGUGGCUGGUGUGUUAGUAUAUCUCACAAAUGAGUUAUGUUGGGCAAAAUUUUCGUGCAGUACUUUUUUCAAAUGCAAAUUUGCAAUACAAAUUUUCAUGCAUCUUAAUAUUGUCCUAUGCAAUAUGGAGUGGCUUUUAACUGCAUGUGAAUGCAUAAUUCAGGAGUGUUUUCGUAUAUUGGACUAGCUGCAGCAUAAGGUACCCUUCAUGCAGUACUGGUUCUAGUCAGCAACCAUCGCUUGGAACUAUAACUAGGGAACAUGAUUCAUAGUGGCCAAAUUUUCAUGCAAAUACAUACUUUCAACUCUGCAUGCUUUUUGUACACUGCAUAAUGUAAGAUCCUGUUGCCCCAGCAAAUUUGUUAAAUGUUUUAAAUGCAUGCAAGUGCAUUUCUAGAGGUGCAUAUAUUGAGCAAGUAUAAUGACUUUUUCAUGCAUAUGUGCUCAACCAGCUUUUAGUGCAUAUAAAUCUGGCCUCUACAUAUGAUGCAUGCAUUAUUACUUUUUGGAGGUGCUCUGGGAAGUCGAACUUGGUGGGCACAGCGUCAGACCUCAAACGAACGAUCUGCCCCGUUCUGUCGAAGCAGCUGUGUUCAUCCAGGUGUUCUGAUCCAGGCAAGAUACCGUGAUCGCCAAACUCAGUGGCAGGUCCCACACCUGACAAGUGCGCUUCAACACCUGCUGCGUGCUGAGACCAUACAGAGAACUGCAUGAAGUCUGUACUAUCAAAGUUACUAUAUCCGCAUAAAGUACUGCUUAAAGGGACCGAAAAGUGAAAAAUAACCCCCAUAUUUUUGCCCACUGUCGUGCACAACAUCGUUGUUUGAUAAGAUACAGAAAGCAUUACUUAUGAAUUCCGUAUAUUUUUUACGUAUAAAUAUUUUGAAGAUUGCCGGAACAUGGACGGUGCUGCCAGCGAACGGCGAAAAAGAGCAACUUAAUGGGUUUCAGGUCCAGGGCUCCCAGGGAUUGGUCAACCCUUACCACGUGAGAGUUAAUUUUGUAGAGAACAAAGCUGACGCACAUUAUCUUACAGCUAAACACCAUUUUAAAAAUGACGCUCAUUUCCAUAGCUUUUACGUUAAUAAAGCGUUCAGCUACUUCGCCGCUACGAGCUACGAUCCGCCGCGCCAUCUGCGAGGCCGUCUGUGUUAUCGCGUUUAUUGUUUACUUCGUGGGUGGUCGUGUUGGUCGCGCGAAGAGAAGUGAAUGACAUGUUCGUGGUUGUUGUGUCAAUUAUUCGAGAGGCCUAAAUAUGCCUGGUAUAGUUUUGGUGUGCGGGGAUGCAAAAAUCAUGUUCGUUCACCAUCGGCGGCGGGCGUUUUCUACCACAAGAUUCAAGAGGAGAGUGCGCGAAAACGAAUGUGGUUCGAAACACUCGGUUAUUAGAUGUAGCAACGCGUGCGCUUGGAGACUGGGAGGUCCGCGGUUCGAAUCCGCGGGCCGGCUGUGCCGUCUGGGGUUUUUCCUGGGUUUCCCUCAGAUGUGUAAUAGGCGUAUGCCGGCACAGUUCCCCCGAAGUCGGCCCAUGGACACAGCUAUCCUCCCCCCGAGCGGAUUCCGCUCGGUCUUCCACUUCACCCUUUCCUCUCCUCCUCUCCACCACCUUACCCUUCCCGAGAAACAUGCCGCCUAAUCAGGCAGGCAGACAUCUCGGGUUCCUCCCAACGACACUCCUCCUCCUCCUCCUCCGCAGUCGUGUCGUGUGUGCUGAGCUCAUUUUGCUGCCGAUGACUAAGAAGAUGCCGUAGAAGGCGAAUUGCGAAGACGUCCGAAGGAAACUGCCGUUCAGUAACCAGUGAUUUUGCUUCACCGAGGUGACGAGUUCAACACAACGUCUUAGGUAUGUACAGGCGUCACACAUGUAUAAAUUAUAAUAUAGCGACGACGUAUUCCAUUUAACUUAUGUUAUCCUACUUGUCCCGUACUCAACAUUGUCAACAUCAACAAUUUUUAUUUUAGGGGCCUUCCAGUGUUGAAGUGGCGCAAAACUGUUUCGUGUCCCAGAUAACACAAAAUGAUCCGAGGAAUGUCUUUGGGACGUCCCUCUGCGGAUGUUGAGGACGUCCGAGCGAUGUGCGAGUUUGGUUCAAUAAAAGUCCGAAACGCGUCUUUAUGAAACUCCGAUGGAUGUCGCUUAAAUGUUACAGGGACGUCCAUUGUGAUUUCUACUGGGCUUCUAGGAGUCCUUAUUGGGACGUUAUGCAUUCACUCGAAGCGGGCUUCCCUGGACAGCACGUCAGCUUUGCAGAGGUUCUAGCCUUAUUGUUAUUACCGCGUUCAACAUGGUAGAGGUUUUCAAACAGCAUCGAUCAGGACAUGUGCUGAUCGAUGCUGUUUGAGAGGAACCUUGCUGAAGCGAUUACGGUCAUCAAACAACAGAAAAUGCUCACUUGUUCCGACAUAAUCAACGCUUGUCCUUCAUUAGUUCCCCAAACGAGUUUACAUGUAUAAUAACAGUGAUAAAUUCAAUAGCUAAGGCAGUGGCGGAUCCAGACCAUUGGCUAGGAGAGAGGGUGGACCCUUUGUCGGAGCGCGUAGUGGGGAGGGGAGAAAUGCAAUGCAUAAACUAAUGUUGUUGUUUUUUGGGGGGUGCGAUAGCCCAACCGCCUUUCUCCCAGAAACGUCACUGCACUUACCAGAGUAUAAAACCAGGGUUGCAUCAAGCAUCGUAGCUUGCUAUUGGCCUACUUCAUCACAGAUCACUACUGUAAACACACACAAUAAAUAUUGCAUCACUAAAUCCCCAUCAGAAAGUAAUACGAAAAAAUAUCCGAUGCAUACAACAAUCAUCACUGUCCUCCUUCAGAUUCACUGUGUGUUGCACUCCCCCAGUAACUUGUCGUGCGUGGUGCAACCUGCACUGUGCAACCAUGCUGAACUUGCUUGAAUGCUUGCUGAACUUCAAGGGUGGCAUCAUUGAAGAAGCACCCUGACCUUCUGUCAAGCAGUCUGGAAACAAAGCAAAAACGUACUCAAUAUUUGCAAAACCCAUACCUAAUUUAUGUGUUGCACAGUCCAGGAAUCUUGUCCUAUCAACCAAGCGCUGUCGCACACAAGCUCAUACACGCGCCGAGUCGGACAAAAAAUGUUGUGUAGAGCGACCAGAUCAUUGCUAAUCAAACAACAGUACAUAAUUUCACAUUUAAGGAAUUCGAAUGUCGGAAUCGGCUACAUACCUUACUCGCCAUCUUGCUCUCGCCUGUACCUCACAAGCUAUAGGCCGGCACACGCACUGCCAACAUGGAGAACAUGCCAACGGAAAUUUGCCUUUCCGCCACUUUCAAAGAUCAGUUUCAGCAACACACACGUCUGUACUCGUCCUCAUAACGUGAGCAAACACCAGGAAGUAUUACCACAAACGUAAACAUACCGAGAAGAUUGAUGUCGACCGCAGCGGUGCUUCGUAUUCUGCUCGGAAAUGCGAUGGAAACUCAAUCAAACCAAAUGGCAUCAGGGAUCCGUUGUCGCGCGGACGCCUCACGGCCUCACCAGGCGCCCACAGCUCCCCAUAGAGCCCAUAGUUUGAGAUAAUUCAGGCAACACUGGACAUACGACCAAUGAAAAUGCGUCGUGAUGCCUAGCAGCCAACCAAUCAGCAACCACUCCGUUUGGCUCGGCUUUCCGCCGGCCCUGGCUGCCAUUGACUUCUACUGGUUUUCAUACCUGGCGCCCGUUAUUCCAAAAUAACAAAGACAUUUUUGAUAGGCUAAAUACAUAUUUAUUGAUGCAACGUAUAAACUCAAAUGUUUGACUCAUAUAUUCACCGUGCGUACAGGACGUUUCGUUCCUUGAAUAGACAGCAACCAAACCAAGUUCGAACUUGCAAAGCACACACACAGUCUACUUCUGGAGGCGAGCGAAGUCCACGAGUGCGUGCGUUUCACAGAUGAGCAUCUUCUUCUCAUUCUGGCGAUGCACAGUGGGUCACACAGUCACGGGAAAUACUUUUGUCGUUACGAACACUCUCUUCUUAGUCACUGUAUUUGAAAAUGCGACAGCGCUCGAAAGUGUUCCUCAGGCGUCAGCUCACCAAGCAUUCCAGUUCCGACUCGGCAAGAAUGUCCGUAGGUUGACACUUUAUCGGAGAUCAGUACAUGGCCAGAGUCACUAUAACUCACGAACAAACCCGCGCAUACACUUCCUCUUUGGUCGUUGUUGUCAACCGACAUCGGCGAGCCGCAGAGACGCAGCGACCUUGCUUGGAGCUGCCCGACUGGCCGCGAAAAGUGAGCUGUCAGAUAUUUCGAAACUUUAUCAACCAAUCCCGGAGCGCGCAUCCUCCUGCGGCCAAUGGGCAUCCGUCAUGAUGCCUGACGAUGUAAUACCACGUGACCGUGACGUAAUUUUAUUUUUCUACUGCCGCAAAUGCAGGGAGCUGUGGAGGCCUGGCCAGGCUCCAACAGCUCCCCAUAGAGCCCAUAGUUUGAGAUAAUUCACACAACACUGGGCACACGACCAAUGAGAGUGCAACGUUGUAGAAAUUAUGCAAUGCCAGUCGGCCAAUCAGGAGCCUUAACUUUGGCUGACCUUUCGACCGGUUCUGGCUACCAUCGACUUCUACCGGAUUUCACGCCUACCGCCGUUACCCGAUAUUCAAAAUAACCGAAGGUUCUCUUGGCUAAAAGAAAUAUUUAUUUAUUUAAAGCACUGAUUCAAAGAUCUGAUACAUGGGUACACUGUGAAUACAAAGUCCACUGUGUUGCUGACGCACUGUAACUAAGUUGGAACUUGAAGCAAAACGAACACAGCUCUCGCAAUCCGACGGGGCCGGCGCUUGUUCUUCACUCUCCAACCGCUCCAACUCACGAAGCAUUCCAGUUCCGGAGUUGAUAAACUGUUCGUGGGAUAAUAGUCGUGUCCAGGAGCAGCACAACACACGUUGAAUCACAUCGACGCAUGAAUAAACCAGCGAACACUUCUAGAAACUGUUCUGCCGAUUUGACAUCAUCGAAACACGGAACACAAGAGGACGCCUUGCCGGCCGAUUUUAUGAUGAGCAUCUUCUUUCGUUGUUUCCAGAGCGGAAAAGACGCUUGUGUGGCACGUAAUCGUAAUCCUGUCUUUGUUGUCAGGCCUCAAAAUCCGACGGCGCCCGAACGCGUUCUUCACGCUCCAACCGCACCAGCCAACGAAGCAUUCCAGUUCCGUAGUUGAUAGACUGUACGUGGGAUAAUAGUCGUGUCCAGGAACAGCACAACACGCGUAGAAUCACAAACUGUUCUGCCGAUUGACAUCACCGAAACACAACACAAGAGGACGGACGCCGUGCCGACCGAUGCGAGCUAUUUCGAAACUAUGCUGAAACUGCUGAAACGGCCGCCGGGACGCUGCACACACAUGCGCGCGUACAAAAUGCGAUUUCAAAACGUUGUCGACCAAUCGGAGCGCGCACACAGUCUGGGCCAAUGAGCUUGCAACGUUGUAGAUUGGCGCAGUGGUACAUACUCUACAGCCGCAUCCUCGGUUACCUGAGGAGGACUGGCCUGGCCUCACUACCAUCAGACCAUCUGCUCUUUCCCUCUUUCUCUCAAAAACUUGGGAGAGUGAGAGGAGCUCGCGCUGCUUCGCCGCUUCGCACUCCGACUAACAUUUCUGGGGCUUCCUUAGCAAAGAAUACAAGGGACACGUCCCAGGAACGCAACUUCUGGGACCUGGGACUUUGGGACAUUUUUAGGACGUCCGAAUAAAGUUUCGUGUUGUCUGGGGUGUGUGUGUGAUCCAUGCACUGACAUGACAGAAAUAGCUGAAAACAGGUAUGCAAAGUCCACAGAUGGAAGCACUAGAUUUGUUACGUGUUCCAGACUUUGUGACAUUUUUUUUUUUUAGUCUUUGGACAGGUGCAGAAUAUUCAUAUGACGUCAACAAGGGGAGAAGAAACUGGUGAGAACUACUAGCUUGUUUGAAGGGUACAAGAAUACUUCCUGUUGAGAUGUAGUUGUGACUUUAUGACUAAGGAACGCUAAUUAAUUUUCUAGAGAUGCAUCCUCUACACUUGAAUGCCCAGUGAAACAGCAAACGUUCGUUGUCUUUGAAGUCCCACUACUGGAAUUGUUCAAUGUGUGUCAGAGCUGCAGUGAGCCAUGCAAGGUUACCACAUCAUAUUGGUCCUAAAUUUGCAGAGUUCCCCUAUCUCGGACGCAACUGUCAUUUCUCUUUAUUGCUCUUCCGAUCCUACCUUCUCAGAGAUUAAUGUGGUUCACAAUACACUGCAUGGGUACUGCCUUUCUCUAUACUCAUGCUUUCGGUUUCUUGUUCUGUUGAAUAAAUCUUCACUUGAGUUUGAGAGCCAUCACGCUGUCUACUGUGUUUGCCCCUCAUCUAUAUUGAUGUGCUGUAACGGUAUAGCACAUCGACAUGCCAACAGCCUAUCAAACAACCUUGCUUAGUCCUACUUUUGGAUGGAAACUACACGAUGUGGUAACAUCUACAUAUAUAAAGUUUUAAUCGACGGAGAUUUGCUGUUUUUGUACAACCUUCAUUGUACAUUUCUUUUGUCUCACUUAGCAGGCUGAAGAAAUGUUCUGAUCUUCAUCAAGAUGACAGGUCAUUGUUCGAUCUGCAGCAUUAUUGUUCCUGUAAUCUUUUCACCAACAGAGAAUACAAAAGUGAACAAAUGGUUUUACAACUCUAUCAAGUACGUCAAAACAUCAGAGGGCAGGAAGUCCUACUCUGUUUCCUAAAUCCCUG